rnacentral:ribozyme from 12 species
AAUACACAACAAGAAAGGAACAGAGAAAGAAGAAUAAACAAAAGAGCACAACACAGCUUUGUGCCCAACACAGACACACAUAUAUUUGUUGUUCUUUUCUGUUGAUGAAAUUUUACUUUGAAGUUUAUUUUCUUGU